AGAGAGGCCGCCUCCAGGGGGCAGUGUUUGGCUGCUCUACUGAUUAGCUGUCUAAUCUUGCGCACGCUACUUAACUCCAAACUUCCAUUUCCCUUCUGAAGGGUUAGUCGUUGAAUCUGUUGGGUUCGGAUGUUAUGAGGAUUAAAGGAAAUGAUGUAUGUCAUGCACUCGGCACAGUGUUAGGCUUGUAGUGAAUGGUCAAUAAAUGGUAUUAUUAUUAGCAUUAUCAGAGGCUUGUGGAUGCCAGACUAAGGUGUCCUGUAGACCCGAGAUCCGUUGUUUUAAGCAGGUGGAUGACUGUAUUAAUUUCCUAGGAUUGCUGAAACAAAUUACCACAAAUUUGCUGCCUUAAAACAAAUUUAUUCUCUCGCAGUUCUAGAGGCUGAAACUGAAAUCAAGGUGUCGACAGGGCCGUGCUCCCUUUGAAGGUUCUAGGGAAGAAUCCUUCCUUGAUUCUUCACAGCUUCUGGUGGCUCCCAGCAGUCCUUGGCUUCCUUGGCUGGUAGCUGUGUCACUGCGCUCUCUGCCUGCGUCUUCACGUGGCCUUUUUCUCUCUGCGUACGUGUGUAAGGAUCAGCUCACCCAUGGGCGCUGGCUUGAGAGGGAUGAAGUGGCUUCUAAAGUCUUCACCAGGGACCCAAAACAGCAAGUGUUCAGGAAACGAGUGACGGUGACAGAGAUGACUGAGGUCAGUCCACAAGUACUUAUUUGAGUAUUUACCAAGAGUUGGGCAACGGGUCAGGCUCUGAGAACAGCGAGGAGACUAAACCCAGCCUCCCACUAAAGGAGCUCCUGCUCUGGCUAAAAGUUUCUGCAAAGGCCUGGACAGUUCCUACUCCUUUCCAAGC
rnacentral:lncRNA from 1 species